AGCUUUGCGCAGUGGCAGUAUCGUAGCCAAUGAGGUUUAUCCGAGGCGCGAUUAUUGCUAAUUGAAAAGAUAACUAUGCUGGAGUGGUUCUUUGUUCUCCAAACUCUCUAUGAAUGACAGAAAUCCAAAUAGAACUGCCUUUAGUCA